CUUUCCUGUUCUAAGGUAAGAGCACUUUUUCCCACUGAGCAAAAAGCUCCUUUCGCAAACAUCCACUUUGCUGGGCUUUGUUUUUAACAAAAGGAGCCCAUAGCACCCAGUACAACGGGGCUGUCCAGGUGACUCACUGUCUUGCAUACUGAUGGGCUCCCAGACAGCUCCCCCCAGCCAGCUGGCCGCUCGGAGCUCCAUUCCCAAGCUCCCACUUUUUCAAAGCCCUGUGCUCAACCCGACUGGCUUGGUCACCCUCCUUCCCAGACGGACAGUCCUGGGGAAAAAGUAAUGCCAGGCCACAGGCUCAACUCCAGCUCUCCACAGAGCAGUCUUGCCCAGGAAAUAAUGGCUUCGAGGCGCUUACAGCCCCGGGGGGUGCAUACAAGCAGGAGGAACAGAAUGAAAGAGGCAGGCACCUGUUUGCUGCUUUCACCGAGAUUUCCUCGCAAUGGGCCACGGAUGUCCUUUCUCCAACGUCUGGGAGGAUGAAGCAGGACAGGGAGCCCACAAACUGUCGUUGAAGACGUGCUCUGCCUGCCCCUGCUUUGCUGGCAACGUGCGGUGUUUGGACAAGAUUGUCACAGUGUUGAGUUGGAGAGCCACCACUGGCCGAGUCUUCCUCUGGCUUUGCUCUGGCCGCCUCUCUCUCCAGACCCAACCUUUCAAAUGGCUCCCAGCUGCCUCCACGUUCAGCCGAAAGCCACCGGCCUGGACGUUAGGCCCUUCUUAGCUUGAACCGGCCUCUUGCCCUGGAACGCCUCCCUGGAUCUCUUCACACCCGAGAGCAUCCACCAUCACUGGUUUCCAGAGCACCUGAACUCCCAGCCCUUCCCACCCUGAUCACUGAGUGACUGAAUUUGAAGUAAAUAUUUGUUUAGUGUCACCACA